UACAGAGGGUGCGAGCGUUAAUCGGAUUUACUGGGCGUAAAGCGCGCGUAGGCGGUUGAUUAAGUUAGCUGUGAAAGCCCCGGGCUUAACCUGGGAAUUGCAGUUAAUACUGGUUAACUAGAGUCUGGUAGAGGGUAGUGGAAUUCCAGGUGUAGCGGUGAAAUGCGUAGAUAUCUGGAGGAACACCAGUGGCGAGGGCGACUACCUGGACCAAGACUGACGCUGAGGUACGAAAGCGUGGGGAGCAAACAGG
rnacentral:misc_RNA from 1 species